AUUGAACGCUGGCGGCAGGCCUAACACAUGCAAGUCGAGCGGGGUUUUCGGACCUAGCGGCGGACGGGUGAGUAAUGCGUAGGAAGCUACCCGAUAGAGGGGGAUACCAGUUGGAAACGACUGUUAAUACCGCAUAAUGUCUACGGACCAAAGUGUGGGACCUUCGGGCCACAUGCUAUCGGAUGCGCCUACGUGGGAUUAGCUAGUUGGUGAGGUAAUGGCUCACCAAGGCGACGAUCUCUAGCUGGUUUGAGAGGAUGAUCAGCCACACUGGAACUGAGACACGGUCCAGACUCCUACGGGAGGCAGCAGUGGGGAAUAUUGGACAAUGGGCGCAAGCCUGAUCCAGCCCAUGCGCGUGUGUGAAGAAGGCCUCGGUUGGUUAAGUAC
rnacentral:rRNA from 1 species